CCUCCAUCAACUCGGAAGUCCCUCUGGUGGCAGUCUGAGUGACUGCUACCAGAGGUGUUCCUAGCUUUCAAUGUAAACACUGUAUUUUCUCAGAAAAUACAGUGUUUAUAUGGGAAAGGCUGCAGGGAGCUAUAUAUCUCACCUGAACAACCUCAUUAAGCUGAAGUUGUUCAGGUGACUAUAGUGUCCCUUUAAGUUUAACCCUGCAAUGGAAACAUU